GCCAAUAGGAAAGAAGGCUAAGGGAAAGAAGGCGGCCCCCGCCCCUGCUAUCAGUGAAGAAGCAGGAAGACAAAAAAGUUGUGAAUCCUCUGUUUGAGAAAAAGCCUAAGAAUUUUGGCAUUGGACAGGACAUACAGCCCCAAAGAGACCUCACCCUCUUUGUCAGAUGGCCCCCCUAUAUCAGGUUGCAGCAGCAAAGAGCUAUCCUUUUAUAAGCUGCUGAAAGCACUUCCUGCCAUUAACCAGUUCACCCAGGCUUCGCACUGCCAAACAGCUACUGACUGCUUACGCGGGCCCACAAGCACAGACCAGAGACAAAACAAGAGAAGAAGCAGAGACUGUUGUCCUGGACUGAGAAGAAAGCUGCUAGCAAAGGGGAUACCCCCAUCGAGACACCACCCGUCUUUCCAGCAGGGGUUAACACAAUCACCACCUUGGUGGAGAACAAGAAGACUCAGCUGGUGGUGAUUGCACACGAUGCGGAUCCCAUCGAGCUGGUUGUCUUCCUGCCUGCCCUGUGUCCCAAAAUGGGGGUCCCUUACUGCAUUAUCAAGGGUGAGGUAAGAUUGGGAUGUCUAGUCCACAGGAAGACCUGCACGACGUUGCCUUCACACAGGUUCACUAGGAAGACAAAGGAGGUGUGGCUAAGUUGGUGGCAGUUUUCAGAACCAAUUACAUGGACAGAUAUGAUGAGAUUCGCUGCCAAUGGGGAGGCAAUGUCCUGGGUCCUAAAUCUGUGGGUUUGAAUCACCAAAGUGGAAAAGGGAAAGGUGAAAGAAGUUGCCACUAAACUGG
rnacentral:lncRNA from 1 species